rnacentral:tRNA from 1 species
GGGGACUUAGCUCAGCUGGUAGAGCGCCUCGCCUGCAACGAGAAGGUCAUCGGUUCGAAGCCGGUAGUCUCCACCA